CCGCCGGCGACCGGCGCACGGGUGAGUAACACGUAUGCAACCUGGCCGUGACAGAUGGAUAACCGGGAGAAAUCCCGCCUAAUACAGCAUGACGCCGGGAAGGGACAUCCCUUUCCGGCCAAAGGGGGCGACUCCGGUCACGGAUGGGCAUGCGGCGCAUUAGGUAGUUGGUGGGGCAACGGCCCACCAAGCCGACGAUGCGUAGGGGUUCUGAGAGGAAGGUCCCCCACAUUGGAACUGAGACACGGUCCAAACUCCUACGGAAGGCAGCAG
rnacentral:rRNA from 1 species